GCAGCCCAUUGCCAAGGAGAAGCCC
rnacentral:siRNA from 1 species